UUUAAUCGUGAUUUCGUUUAGUAGUUGUGGAUGAAUUUGUAGUUGCAAAUACAAGUUUAUUUAUGUGUUUUCGACUUGCUCAAGAGAGAGGUCGUAAAACUAAAACUACUAAAUUGAUGGCCGGUGGGAGUGGGUUGACAUGAGGUUCAGCUCGAGAGAGUGAAUCCUAGUCUCAUUCCCACACACUCAGCUCGAGAGAGUAGGUAGGUUAAGGCAUAGGCUGGUCUUCAUGCGGCAAGUGGGN
rnacentral:lncRNA from 1 species